GUCCACACCGUAACGUUGGCGCUAGGUGUGGGUCCAUUCCACGGAUUCCGUGCCGCAGCUAACGCAUUAAGCGCCCGCCUGGGAGUACGGCCGCAAGGCUAAACUCAAGGAAUUGACGGGCCCGCACAAGCGGCGGAGCAUGCGGAUUAAUUCGAUGCAACGCGAAGAACCUUACCUGGGUUUGACAUACACCCUGCCGCUCCAGAGAUGGGGCUUCUUUGGGGUGUACAGGUGGUGCAUGGCUGUCGU
rnacentral:rRNA from 1 species